GUGCUCACUUCGGCAGCAUGUAUACUAAAAUUGGAACAAUAUAAAGAAGAUUAGCAUGGCUCUUGCGCAAGAAUGACAUGCAAAUUCAUGAAGCGUUCCAUAUUUUU